GACGAACGCUGGCGGCGUGCUUAACACAUGCAAGUCGAGCGGUAAGGCCCUUCGGGGUACGACGAGCGGCGAACGGGUGAGUAACACGUGGGUGACCUGCCUCUAGCUCUGGGAUAAGCCUGGGAAACUGGGUCUAAUACCGGAUAUGACUCCACGGCGCAUGUUGUGGGGUGGAAAGCCUUGUGUGGCUAGAGAUGGGCCCGCGGCCUAUCAGCUUGUUGGUGGGGUGAUGGCCACCAAGGCGACGACGGGUAGCCGGCCUGAGAGGGCGACCGGCCACACUGGGACUGAGACACGGCCCAGACUCCUACGGGAGGCAGCAGUGGGGAAUCUUGCGCAAUGGGCGAAAGCCUGACGCAGCGACGCCGCGUGAGGGAUGACGGCCUGG
rnacentral:rRNA from 1 species